AAAUUAUCGUUACCGGCAAGUCCAUCGAUGACAUCGGAACCUGUAGUUCCGUACAGAUAAUCCGCCGCAGCAGUGGCCUGUUGAAGGCGAGCGAGAACUGCGUUGAAAUCCCAGCUCCCUGAGCCAUCGGAAAAAUUGAUCGUCUCUACCAAGCCUUGGCCACUUGCACCGCUAGCCUGAAAAUAAUUUCCUACUGUGAUUCGGUCUGUCGUGGAUUGGCCGCCGGCAUCGACAAUCUAAAGUGCCAGAUUGGAUGCUUCGCGAGUUAGCUUCACACGGCUCGACUGCACGCCGUUUAGAAGCACAAUCGCAUCCGCUGUACCCGAAGCAUCGUAGACAACAUCAGCGCCAUCCCCAAGCUGGAAUCGGUAUUGGUCAGAUCCACCGCCGCCGCG
rnacentral:misc_RNA from 1 species